rnacentral:lncRNA from 1 species
CAUGUAAUAUGAAAAUUCCAUUAGUGAAGCAAAUAUACAUGACUACACCAAUAUGCACAACACUAAUCAAUAUAAUAACAAUCAAUUCAAGAACUAGAUUUUACAGUGAAUAAGGAAAAAGAGAUAAGAACUUAUGAGGGUUUAUCAUGACUUCGAGUACAGAUGUUUAUUGCUCUCCACCGUCAAUGAGAAGGGAUUCAUUUUGGGCGGGUCAGCUUUUUCUUGGGUGGUUCUAUUCCGGUCAUGGGCGUCCAAUCCGUCUGGGAAACCUCCAUUGACCUAGAAGAAAUCGACAUGUACAGUUUAAGAAUUCGAUUGAAGCCAUUAAAAAGAAAAAUCAUCCAAUUUUGGAGAAAUCAAUAGAGAUCAAACAAACCUUGGAGAGAUUAUGAGGGAAAAAGGAGUUUGUUUUCCGGUUGGCUUUGGGUGCGCCGAGCACAACAGAGGAAGAGGAGAAGAGAGCUGUGCGUGAGCACACAGAGGAGAAGACG